AUGACAACCAUGCAGGAGAGGAAGGAGGGAAUGCAGGAGACCUCCUGGCCGGUAGAGGGACAGAAACCUCUGGCCCAGACCUCAGGCAAGGUCGUGACAAGUGCUGGCUCUGGGGAAGGUGGCGCUUGCCAGUUCCCUGCUGAGGCUGCGUGCACCACUCCGAGGGACACAGGCUGCUCCCUGCUUCAGGUUCCAGGGCCCGGAACAUGCACUGGAGGGCUGAAACCUGGCCCAGCUGCUCUACUGGGCUGGGAGCAUCACGGUCACUCUCUGUCCUGGUCUCCUGUCUGCAUCAUCAAGGCCCAACCCGAAGAGAAAGCAUGAUAAGUACUUGUUGAAUGAGCUGGCGUAUAGCCUCGGUGACACACGGGACAUUUUGGGAGAACAGAAGAACAAGCACAUUUAAGACACUGCAAUGAUGGUUGAUGGAGCUCUGGAUUUGAACCAGAACUGCUGUUUCUGAGAGUGAGAAGAUAGCAUCUCUGAGGCUGCAGCAGAGGUCAUGGCUGAAAUAGCCAUUAGGAAGAAUCCAAACGGACUUGUGAGAUGUGUUGCUGUAGGAAUGGGACAGGUUAUGCAUGCACACAGGAUAACCAAUCUGAGGGUGACAGUCAGGCACCUGGAGGUGCACCAGGCACAAAACCAAGAGUCCAGAGCUAAGCUGGUGUAGAGUAUUGGCCUGAAAAUGCCAGAGGUCAGUGUGGCUUGGAAUCCACAAAAGGAAAAACAGAGAGAGCGAGAGAGAGAAUGAAUUAAUUUCACUGUUGCCACCUGACCCCACACAGGAUAAAGCACACCUCACUUUCUGCUAGGGGCUCUUCUAUCAGAGUUUCAUCCUAAAACACAAGCCAUCCAAAAAAGGCAAGAGAAAUGAAGCAAGCACUCAAAGUAAUUUGAAAAACAGAGAAACGACAAAAAAGAAAGAUGAUCAAAAUAUGCCAGUUGGGAAAAUGUUUCAGAAUUCAGAAUGCAGGGCGAGGAGAGUGAAAUUAGUAAGUGUGGAUUAGCUCUGAAGUGCGUUUGAUGGGCAUUUUUAUUUGAUGAUUUUCAACCUGAUUUGCAAGUCUGAUAUAAGUAUUUUAAAAUUGUACCCUAUUAGACAAGAGUGAGAAAGAGACAUAUUAGGAAAAUGGAAUUCUUUUAUCUUUGAAAUAUUUUGAUCGUCAUUGUUGGAGUUUCAAAUAGAGGAAGCUUCAUUUCAUUCGCUGUUGGAACUGGGUUGAGUUCCAGUGCGUUAAUUACCUUUGUCCUUUUUGUCCUGCCACCCCAUCUCCUCUCCUUCCAGAUGCUCUCAGAGCUCCUGUGACUUGGCCCAUGAUGCCGCCACGGUUGGCUCUGGCCUCUGUGAUUCAGACCUCAGUGACUCACUGAACGAAUGAGCUAUUCUGGACACCCAGUGCCGUUCGAGUGCUUUACAGAUAGGAUCCAUUCGAUUGUUAUGAUGACCAAUGGGAAGGUUCGGUGGUGUCCCCAUUUUGUAGAUGGCAUUCAGAAAGGCAAGGGAGGGCUGGGGAUGUAGCUCAAUGGCACAGCACCUGGCAAGCGCAAGGUCCUGAGUUCAAUUUCUGGUGCAAAAAUAAAGGAAGGCGAGAGGUGACUUAGGUUGUGCGGUGGGUGGUGACUGCUGACAUCAGAAAUCUGACCUUGGGUCUCAGGGUGCUCUGAUCCUGUCUCUGAUGUGGCCUUUAGCGGAGGACUCAGUAGUCCCCACAGGCUGUGGACAGUGGGGAGGAGUGGCCUCUGUGUGGCUCCCUUUACAUCAAAGUCUGAGAUGCCCGAGGGGGUUCAGAGGCUUGUAGGUCCUGGAGGAGUCUUUAUUCAUGCAAUUUCAACAUUUGGACCAGAUUGUUAAAAGGAACUGUUCAAAGAAAACAAAUGAUAGAUCUCCCAACUUGCGAUGAAAUAAAAAGCAACAUUUUCAAUUAUUUCCACUUAGUCUAAACAGUUGUUCCAUUUGAUCUUCCUGGGGAAUUAAAAAAAAACAGAGACAGGUGUCUUCUAUGAUAAAAACUGUUGUUAUCAUACGAAAAAAUGAAAAGAGAAAUGCUGAGGGAGAUGCCAGAAGAGAAGCCAUCCGCCGGCCACUGCGGGCAUUGUUUUAAAGGUGAGGUUUGGUGGAAGCACCGCCCAAUCCAGUCUGUGGUGUUGUAAUGUGGAAAGAUCUCUUUGGCGAGAGGCCACAGUUAGCAAAGGAGACGGAAGUUGUGAGUCAACAAAUGCCUUGAGUUUGCCCAUUUUCCAGGGUGGUAGGCGCCAUGUGGGAGCGGGGCGUGCAGCAUGGACAAUGUGUCCAGGUCCUGGGUUAUGGAGCCCACCUUCUAGCGAGUUCUGAGACCACAGUGAACAUGCCUGUGAGGCUUGCUAAAACCAGGGAAACCAGUCAGAAAACACGGCAUGUUUCAUCUGAAAUGAACCGACGAGCAUACAGAACAUCCAGUAAGCAGAUAGAAACCUCUGAGAGGUAGAUGUUACGUCAAUGUUAUUUGCCCUGAAAAUUUAUCAAUGGGAAAUCUUUGAACUUCAAUCUAACACUCAUCCUGGGUGUCAGGGAGGGACAUUGAGGGACGUGAUCUACAGAGCAUGAAGACAGUGACAAGGAGUUAUAGCUUGGCAGGAAGGACCUGGGAGAGGGUAGGAGGGUUGAGCCUUCCAGACAGGAAUCCAGGGCAGUAAGAACCCAUCCCUAAGGAGAAAUUCUGCCCAGCAUGGUCCAAUUUUCAUUGCAUUUUUCUCCAUAAACAAUCCAGGUCUUAAAAUCAGGUAAGGCUCAGUUGUUUUUUUUCUUUUUCUGAGAUGAGUUUUAAAUUAGGGAAGCAGAUGUAAGUUUAAAUGGAAAGAGCCGAC
rnacentral:lncRNA from 1 species